rnacentral:rRNA from 1 species
UACGGGGGGGGGCAAGCGUUGUUCGGAAUUACUGGGCGUAAAGGGCUCGUAGGUGGCCAACUAAGUCAGACGUGAAAUCCCUCGGCUUAACCGGGGAACUGCGUCUGAUACUGGAUGGCUUGAGUUCGGGAGAGGGAUGCGGAAUUCCGAGGUGUAGCGGUGAAAUGCGUAGAUAUCUGGAGGAACACCGGUGGCGAAGGCGGCAUCCUGGACCGACACUGACGCUGAGGAGCGAAAGCCAGGGGAGCCAAACGGG